rnacentral:rRNA from 1 species
UACGGGGGGGGCAAGCGUUGUUCGGAAUUACUGGGCGUAAAGCGUGCGCAGGCGGUUAUGUAAGACAGGUGUGAAAUCCCAGGGCUUAACCUUGGAACUGCAUUUGUGACUGCAUAGCUAGAGUACGGUAGAGGGGGAUGGAAUUCCGCGUGUAGCAGUGAAAUGCGUAGAUAUGCGGAGGAACACCGAUGGCGAAGGCAAUCCCCUGGACCUGUACUGACGCUCAUGCACGAAAGCGUGGGGAGCAAACAGG